AAGUCGUAACAAGGUUUCCGUAGGUGAACCUGCGGAAGGAUCAUUAGCGAAAUCCGGCGCGCGGCUGCUGCUGCUGCUGCUGCUCUCGCUGCAGAGAGCGCGCGUGCGCGCGCGCCCACUUCUCUCUCCACCCCCCUGUGAACCGUGGCCCGCCCGCGGGCGGUGACAAAACACCCCCAACCUUUGUAGAAGCACGUUUAUGCAUGUUUGUUGAUGGAAGCAGAAAUGCAAUACAACUUUUAGCAACGGAUCUCUUGGCUCUC
rnacentral:misc_RNA from 1 species